GCGGCGGUCACGUGCCCCGGCGGGAGCGGCCGCCGCGCGCGGCGCCGGAAAGCGCCGGGUUAUUGCGGAUCCGCGGCUGAGGGGCCUGGCCGCCCGCGGGAGCCUCCAGCCGCCCCCGCGGGCCCAUAAAUCGGCUUUAUUUUUGCGGCGUUUCCGACGAGCCGUGUAACGCUCCGGCGAUGAAGCUCACCCGCCACCGCCGAGGUCGGCACCGCGCGCGGGGCGGCCGCGGGCCCGGGCGACGAGGCGGCGCUGCCCCCGCCCGGUGCGGCGCGAACCGACUGCAGCAGGAACGUCAAUCGGCUUCCUGCAGAACAAGAAGUUAGAGUCACAUUUUCUGCGGACGAUGGGAGUUUCCAGCGCACGUGGUGCUCGGGGCAGCUGCACUCACACAGGCGACGGAGAAAGGACCGCACUGCAGGGGAGAGCCGCCCGCCUCUGCCCAGUACCGCUCGCAUUUCUUCUGUUGGGAGAAGCAGGACACGUUUGGUUAUUCGCCACCCGCGCUGUCUCCUGUCUCACUUUGCCGGACAGACUCGUGCCGGGAGGAGGCCAGCUCUCGCUGCCGGCCGGCUCCAGCCUCCCCUGCCCCGGAGCCACCAUUGCUGGGUUCCCCCUUCCAGAGACGCUAGCUACACUACUGGAAACUGGCUUAAGAGUCUGUAGCUGGAGACUCAGGAAACAGCCCGUAUCAAACAGAAACUCGCUGUUGCUAAUGGGAUUUCAUAAAAAUCUGCAUCUCUCCAUCCUGCCCCGGCACUGUCACGGCAGGGGCCAUCUCUGACGUGACUCACCUUUCCCAUUUCAAACUCCAUACAAGCCAUGACCACAAUCUGCAAAAAGAAGGUUCAUUAGAAAAGUCCGAACACAGGUUUCUUAUCCAGGCAGCAAAAUCACUUGCGGGUCCUUAUCAGCAAUGAGGAAGUUCUGUGGGCUGCCUUCCCCAGAGCCCUGGGCUGCCAGGCAAAUCAAACCCAUGGCCACGGCACAGCAAACCGGGGACAUCACCCACGGCCCGGGCACAAGGACCUUUCCCGCCCAGAGCCCGAGUGCAGAGACAGCCACGAGCAGAAUCCUGUCUCAGCACGAGCGUGGAGGAGGCUCGCGGGAAGGAUGCAGGGCACACACAACAUCUGGAGUAAAACCCUGACACCCCUGCUGUCUGCUUAGUCAAAAAGGACUUCUGGCUGGCUGUAUGGAAAAUUUUUCUUUAAAAAAGAAAAAAAAAACAAAGCCCCAAAAAACCGAAAGAAAGUUAUAUAAAUCUGCACCUUACCAGGACUUCAUACUCCCAAAUCAUCCUCCAAAAGUCAAUGACAGUAGUGGGGAGAGGACCUUGGGUUGCAAUGUAUGCUCUUGGCCCAUAGACGCCCUAAAACAGCACAUGGAGACAUCUUCGCGUAGUUCAGUAGCGGAAAUAAAGUCAUCCCUCUUUCUCAAUCUUACUUCUAUUCAAUGAGCCGAUUAAGGAUUUAGAAGGGCUUUUAUAUAGUUAAAUUUUAGACACCUGUAUUAAAUUAAGCAACCAGAAACCAAUGGUGUGCAAGCCCCCCAAAGGCAGCCCCAAGCCAGGGAGCUGGGCUUGAGGUGGGACCUGCUCCCAGAGACCACCAGUUCCUGCGGUGCAUUUGGGAGCUUGGAGGUGGUGUUGCAGCAGCUGAUCCGGCUCUGCAGGGUGCGGCGUGCCACAGCUGGGGCUGUUGGCCAAAGAACGAACCGUGACCCCCUUGUGAAGGUCUGUUCUUCUGCAGACAGGUUACACGGAGCCCUCAGUCAUUAUGGUCGAGAAUGAAGGAAACCUGUCUGUCUAUCAGAGAAGGGUUGUGGGCACCAGAGAGUUCCAAAACACACGGAGCUCCUGAUGGAGAACCAGCCUGCGUUGGCCUACCCUGUUGCUCGCCGCUGCGGUGGCGCUCAGCUGUGCUGCAGUGCAGGGCUUCCUGCCUCUGCUCUGCUUUCAGCCACAGGACCUGCUCCUCCCACCACAACUCAACCAGGCAGCACUAACAGCGGAUACAAACACCUUUGCACAGCAAAACACCAUGAAAGACGCAAUACCUUGAUGAAGUUGGCAUUGAUGUAAUGAGAAUCUGCAUCUGAUGUGAUCAGGGACAACUCCACUCUGCUGUGGUCAACUGCAGGCACAAAAGCAGAAGCAGCAGCAGUUACUGUUAGUCUUUCAUGGUGGCUGAGCUCCUCAGACUGCAGCACAAGGUGCUUUGAAGGAGCACACACACUGAGAGCUCAUCCCAGAAGCAAUGAGUGGCUGCGCAAGCCUCCUCCCACGCUGCUGACAGCCCUGCACAGAAUUCAUAGAAUUGUCAGGGUUGGAAGGGACCUUAAAGACCAUCUAGUUCCAGCCCCCCUGCCCUGGGCAGGGACACCUCCCACUAGAUCAGGUUGCUCAGAGCCCCGUCCAGCCUGGCCUUAAAAACUUCCAGGGAUGGGGCUUCCACCACCUCUCUGGGCAACCCGCUCCAGUGUCUCCCCACCCUCAUGGUGAAGAGCUUCUUCCUAACGUCCAGUCUGAAUCGACUCAUCUCUAGUUUUAGUCCAUUCCCUCUAGUCCUACCAUUACCCGACAUCCUAAAAAGUCCCUCACGAGCUUUCUUGUAGCCCCCUUAAGAUACUGGUAGGCCACUAUAAGGUCUCCUUGGAGCCAUGUCCUACGCGCAGGCAGGGACCAGCAGGCUCCCUUUCGGGGUGGUGGUGCUGAGGGCUUGGGCAAGAGCUGCAGAUGCUGACGCUGCCCUGGUGCAACACCAAUCUCCUCUCACCAUGGAGCAAGCCAAGCCUAGAAUCACCCUGCACUCCACCUUACAGGCUCAAAUGAGGUCUGUGGGUUUAGAUUAUUAUUUUUUCAAGCUAGAAUGGAUGAAAGGGACAGUCUGCUCCCUUCCUAGGACAGACCCCUCUUUGCAGACUACUGCACCAAGCCAGGACAAGCCACAACAAUUUUUAACUGUAGUCUGCUUUGUACGUCAUGGAGACACCUUUGUCCAAAGCCAUUCUCUACCAGGCCUUGCAUGUGGUUGCGCUACCCAGAGCUUGCAAGGGCAACCACUAGAGAAUGUGCUUCCUACUGAAUAGAAGUUCUUCUGUCUGUAGAAAAUACAUGCCAAAGCCUUGCCAAAUACUUGCCAAACCAACAGAAUUCAAAGCCAACUGACAGCAGUGACAUGCUCACAGCCAAGCAGCUGUGCAGGCAGAUCCCGGAGGAAGAGAACAGACUCGAGCUGGCACAAAAAAAGGCUGAACAGGAACAUUUCCAACCUACAGGGUAAGAUGUCCUUGUAUCUGUUCUUCUUGAUGUUCUCUGGUUGCUCAGAUGCUGCUGUAGGGUAGACUUUAUCCGAUCUGUACUUUGUUGACUGCCUUUUCAGCUUCUGUGAUAAAAGAAUGGAACAAAUUACAGCAGAUGCACUACAUACAACACACUGCUAGAGAGUACGUGUGAAGGUCUCUGGGGGUCAGGUUCACUACCACAAAGCAAGGUCUGCACCAUUAAUUCUUUCCUCAGUGGCUUUUCUCCAGGUACUCAGAGCAAAAAUAGAGACAGAAGCCACCUGAGAGCCCCAGCGCGGGCUUCUGAGGAAUGGAAAGUGUGUGCUGAGGCAGGGCCCACACGCGGCUUCUGAAGUGAAAGGAUGCGUUUGUUCAGCAGAUGAAGCAUCACCCGCACAAAUAAGUGAGACACAGGGAGCCAUUCUCUGAGACACAAAUGGCACCCAGAUAAGAGGAGUAACAAUGUUGAGCCACCUUUGACAAAUGAUAUCAGAAAAGACAGAUGAAUCAAUUGAUUUUUCUCACUUUGGUAAAGACGCUCCCAUCUGUAGCUGCAAACAGCGAGGCUCAAGCAACUAAAGGAGCACAAGCGAUGGGAGCAAAGUAGCUGCAAGCACUGAUGAAAGAGAAAGGAGGAGUCGUCCUAGGGUUGGCCCUGAGGGUUUGAAUCUCCCAUCUCUUUCAUUUCCAGGAUAAAGCUGCAGCACUCCUGGAGAGUUCAAGCAUCUUUUUCCUGCCAAAGCACAGAAUUUUAUUUCACUGACAUCAGCUUUUAAAUAACGCACAAUGUUCAUUCCCAUCAACUCUGGAAGCCUCAUUCUCGCUGUAUUUUUUCUUUCAUAAUUUUUUGUCCACCUAACCACCAAGGGGUGCUUUGAUUCAAAACAAAAGGCCAUUUCUCUCAUCAGUGUCUCUAUGAUCUGACGCUCCGAAGGGCGAGCCUGCCUUUCACUGCCCUGGAGCCAUCCCUUCUCCUGGGCAUCGCUGCUGGGUCCAGGGAAUCGGGAUGACCCAGGAGAGCACUCAGGAUCGCGGGCCUUUAUGAAAGAAAGGCGUGUGGGGGGAAAAGCAAAGGGAAGGGACCACGGGCACGCCUGAGCUGGAAGGCGAGAGGGUUUCUCCUUGUGCGCACCUCACGGUGACCUACCCGAGUCCCUGGAAGUGGGAACGGUGGCUCAGCCGCUCUCGGCAUGGGGAGAAACGGUUUGGAAAUGCAAGCUAUCACCAUUGCCUGUUGAGGCUUCUGCACUUGCCAAAGUGGCCGACCACUCGGGCCAUCCUGGGAGGAUCUCCUCCCGGUACAAGAGGAAACACGGCCCUGACCACUUCUACCUGCCAUUUUGGUCAGAAAAUGAACUGUACGUUUGUCUGUGAGAACUGGCACAUGCACUGAGGCGCCGCAGCCCUCGCGUGGCCCAGCACAACUCCAGCACAGCAGCGAGGGGAGGAAAUUCAGCAGCCUGUGACAGCACUUUGUUCCAUGGAACAACAGACUGUCACUGCAGGCUGAGAUUAAUCACUUCCCCCCAGCCCAGACACCUGGAAACCAAGCACUAAGCUUUUCCCAAGUGUUUGAAGUGCCAGUCUCCACUGGUGUGGCAGAGCAGGGCUGGAUCUCGCGGGGACUCCUCUGUAAGCCCUGCACCUUCCCCAGAGCCCGCUGCCUGAUGCGGCCCCUCUCCGGAGGGGUAGCUCAGGGCCAGUGGCGAUUCUGCUGUUGGAGACACCUCGGACCUUACAGAGGUACCAGUUCUACCCUUCCCCAUGUCUGCUAUCACUGGGCAAUGCCUUUGCUUCUCAGAGCAGCCCAGACAGCCUGCCAGAGCAACCUUCCUCUAGCUGACAGACCAGCAGCCAUCACCAGCCACCAGCUUUAGCUGAGACCUGGGCUGCCGUCUGAGACCCACCCCUGCCACCCAAACCAGCAGAAAGAUGUCAGGAGCUCACAGAUCAGGGCACUGCACAGACCUCAACCAGCUGGGCACUGCAGAACGCAGGGGAAGGUGAGAGCCAUCAGCAUUUUUUGCAAGUUUUGCCUUUGGGGAAGAAGAAAAUGAUUUCCAGGAGGGGCCGGCAGCACCGCUGGGCAUAAGGCACAUGCACCCAUCGCGAAUGGACGCACAAGCCCUUCCGCGUAACAGCGCUGGAGGUUGGAGCAACGGCCCCUCCGGCUGCUCGGACGCCGUCUCCUCAGCCCUGGCCAAGGAGCCCAGAGUCGAUGGGGGAACAGUCUCGGGUCCACAGAGCGUGCGUCCGAACACCCACUCCUCAGGGGGUGCAGGGGGGUCUGUUGAAAUGGAAAAAGGAAAAGCUAUGUCAAAUAGCCACCGGAGAUCCCUGGCAGGGACAGGUGUAUCGCUGAUAGGACAGAUUGCAAUGGGGAGAAGGGGCGGUGGCUCCAUGUUCCUCACUGUACCCCCAGUUCUGUCACCAGGCGAAGUGAAACUGCGUCUUGACAAGUGCAUUCGCAAAGUAGAAAACAGGAAGCUCUCGGGUAAUUAUUUAAAAAGCAGACAGUUUUACUUUGGAAGCAAACUAUUAAAUUACUCUUCUACCUUUACCUGUCCUUUACCCCGGUUAACUCCUGUGUCUAUUUCUGCUGUAAAAUUAAUAGAAAAAUCUUAUUGUCACAUGCAGCUCACACCCCUGUUUGAGAAGUGACCGAGCAGUUCCCUUUAAAACCAGCUGAAACACAGAGACGUGCCUUAAGCGAACUUACCAAAAACUCGUCUGCAAACUCUUCUCGGUUGAGCUUCUUGCCUUGGGCCCUUUCCAGGUUUUGCAGCAGAAUCUGCCUCUGGUCCAUGUU